CGUGUAGGCGGUCAGGUAGGUCAGUUGUAGAAAACUGGAGGCUCAACCUUCAGACGUCGACUGAAACCCCCCUGGCUAGAGUCCGGGAGAGGAGAGUGGAAUUCCUGGUGUAGCGGUGGAAUGCGCAGAUAUCAAGGAAAGAACACCCGUGGCGAAAGCGGCUCUCUGGAACGGUACUGACGCUGAGACGCGAAACGUGGGGUGGGCGGAACGAC
rnacentral:rRNA from 1 species